GCCUCGGUAGCUUAGUUGGUAAAGCACUUGUCUAGCGAAAUAGGGUUGUGAGUUCAUAUCUCACCUGAGCUG
rnacentral:tRNA from 1 species